rnacentral:lncRNA from 1 species
UUUUGGAAACCGAGCUCCCGAGUGUUGAUAUGGCAACGGAUGCAAACUGUACAGGGAACUUGUUCGGCCCAACGAAAUGUCCGCAGAACGUACAACAUGACGAGAUCAAUCAUCAACAUAGUGUGUCGCACACCCAAGCACCCGAACCUCCAAUUGACCGUAUAGAGGCUGCAGCAUCCGAUGAGCACUCAGACAACCCAUUACAUGGUACAGAUGGUGCUAUUAUUGCUGAAAUUGAUGAGACAAUGACAUCAAAUUCUAGAACUUCGUGCACAGAUGAGUGGAUUAUAGCUG